GACGAAGGGGGCUAGCGUUGUUCGGAAUUACUGGGCGUAAAGCGCGUGUAGGUGGUUGUCCAAGUUGGAUGUGAAAGCCUUGAGCUCAACUCAAGAAAUGCAUUCAGGACUGGGCGACUAGAGGACCGGAGAGGAUAGUGGAAUUCCCAGUGUAGUGGUGAAAUACGUAGAUAUUGGGAAGAACACCAGUGGCGAAGGCGGCUAUCUGGACGGUUUCUGACACUAAGACUCGAAAGCGUGGGGAGCAAACAGG
rnacentral:rRNA from 1 species